UCCUACGGGAGGCAGCAGUGGGGAAUCUUCCGCAAUGGACGAAAGUCUGACGGAGCAACGCCGCGUGAGUGAUGAAGGUCUUCGGAUUGUAAAGCUCUGUUAAUCGGGAAGAGCCUAGUGUGAAUAAUGCUAGGAAGUGACGGUACCGGAAUAGAAAGCCACGGCUAACUACGUGCCAGCAGCCGCGGUAAUACGUAGGUGGCAAGCGUUGUCCGGAAUUAUUGGGCGUAAAGCGCGCGCAGGCGGAUCUGCCAGUCUGUCUUAAAAGUUCGGGGCUUAACCCCGUGAUGGGAUGGAAACUACAGAUCUAGAGUAUCGGAGAGGAAAGUGGAAUUCCUAGUGUAGCGGUGAAAUGCGUAGAUAUUAGGAAGAACACCAGUGGCGAAGGCGACUUUCUGGACGAAAACUGACGCUGAGGCGCGAAAGCCAGGGGAGCGAACGGGAUUAGAUACCCCGGUAGUCCUGGCCGUAAACGAUGGGUACUAGGUGUAGGAGGAUCGACCUUCUGUGCCGCAGUUAACGCAAUAAGUACCCCGCCUGGGGAGUACGACCGCAAGGUUGAAACUCAAAGGAAUUGACGG
rnacentral:rRNA from 1 species